AACGGUUUUGCAGGUGCCUCCUGUGACAGUGAAAGCUGGACCCGACGCUCCAUUUCGGGUGGUGGGGCUGCAGCAGGCCUGGCGGGAGGAUGGCUUGGCCCUCUAUGCUUGUCUGAUGCCAGCAGAUGAGUCUUCAGCCCAGAACAGCACCGAGGUCCAGAAGAUAAAUGCUAAAGAAGAUCUACAAGGACCAUCCACUUUAUACCAGAAGAUUUCUGCAUUUCUAGCCUGUACAUGGCUUCCGGAUGUUCUCUGGUGGAGGGCAGAACUGGCCAAUCGCUUCCAAAAACAGCCCUGUCCACUUCUUCCUGAAAUUCCCUCUGUCCUGCUCAGUUACAUCACUGCUGUUAAUCCCGAUCCUCAGGCAGUGGAGAAGGUGUUUGCAGUGCCAGGUGGAUUUUACUGGCAGACAGUCGAAACUGAGGAAAAAUACUUCCCUAACAGCAGUGACAUCCAGGCUUGCAGAGAUACAGACACCGAGGUAAAGAAAACCAAACAAACCACUCCUUUCUGAGUUGUGGGAUGUUGUGGGAAGUCGAGAG
rnacentral:lncRNA from 1 species